GGCUCGUUGGAGAAACGGAUAACUCACAUGCCUUUCACGCAUGAAUUCACGGGUUCGAAUCCCGAACGAGUCACCA
rnacentral:tRNA from 1 species